GGGCCCGCACAAGCGGUGGAGUAUGUGGUUUAAUUCGAUGCAACGCGAAGAACCUUACCAGGGUUUGACAUCCUGCGAAUCUCUUGGAAACGAGAGAGUGCCUUCGGGAACGCAGUGACAGGUGGUGCAUGGCUGUCGUCAGCUCGUGUCGUGAGAUGUUGGGUUAAGUCCCGCAACGAGCGCAACCCACGUCUUUAGUUGCCAGCAUUUAGUUGGGCACUCUAGAGAGACUGCCGGUGAUAAACCGGAGAAGGUGUGGAUGACGUCAAGUCAUCAUGCCCCUUACAUCUGGGCUACACACGUACUACAAUGCUACGGACAAAGGGCAGCAAACUCGCGAGAGCUAGCAAAUCCCAUAAAGUGCGUCGU
rnacentral:rRNA from 1 species